CCUUCUGUAGACUUAGUGGGUGACCGAUGUUGUUUUGGGCGGUACCCACUGAGGACUACUUGUUUUUACAGUAGUUCUCACGCCCAGUUGUUACCUAUGUUUUUGCAGAGCCACAGGUUCCGGCUGCUGCACCGUCCGUGGAUCAGGAUCGAGGCAAGGGCGUCGCGAGUUAGAGCCCUACCCGACGUGCUGAGCUAGAGGUGCCCUACUGCAGGUAGAUGUUUUGUUUCGAGUUUGUGUACAUAGUUGACUUAACUCGCCAGUGCGAGUAGCUCUGUAUUUUGGAUCUGAACUAUGUAUAUGAAACUCUGUUUUAUUUAGCUUCUGUUUUCUCUAGCAGCUCUCUACUACUGUUUGUAGUAGUGUUUGAUAUACAGAGAAAAUCUCUUUGUAUACGGCGAAUUUGUCGGCGUGCCCGGGGAACGUGUAAUCCGGGGCGUGACACAUUGUUAUAUUUAUAAAUUUUGUAAUAUUUUUUAAUUUCACACAAUAUGAAUUGAAUUUUAAUUUAAAUUCGUGAGCUUUUUAUUAACUAAAGAAAUGGAAAUAUAAUUUGAAUUUAAUUAUGAAACUUGUUUAGGAAGAAAUUAAAGAUAAUGAAAAGGAAAACAAUUCGGCUGAGACUUUAAUAUCUUUAAUUAAAAAUGUAAAUCUAGCUAAAAAUUAAAUUGCUAAAAAAAAGAUAUAUUAGUAAUAGAAAAGAAAGAAAAAUUAAAAAUAUAUAUAUAUAUAUAUAUAUAUUAGUAAUAGAAAAGAAAGAAGAAUUUUAAAAAAAGAAAAUAUAUUAGCAAUAGAUAUAAGAGGAGAGAGACUAUUUACAUUGAUGUGUAUAUGAAUUGUCAACGCAUAGAUUGUCGAUCAUCGGUGACGUGCAUACUCUUAUAUCUUGACCACCGAUGACAUGUCGGUAGACCAUCAACAACGUUGACAUGAUUCGUGUACUUCUGUCGAUAUACAUGCAAUGUGAGGACGACGAUGUCAUGCUAGCAAAGAUGACAACAAAGUUCUGCCGGCGAAGAGGAGGAUAAAGAUGUGCCGGUGAAGGUGACGACAAUGAUGUGCCGGCGCCAGCAAGGACAACGAAUAUGUACAUGUACAAUAAACCAUAAUAGAAUAGGUGUGGAAGGAAUAAAAGAAAACACUUGAGAAUGCAGUGAUAAAUACAAAGGUGGCAGGUAUUAUGUGUAAUUAUAUAAGAUUGGAAUAAGAAUAAGAAGAUUGUUGAGAAAUGAGUAGGUAUUAAAAUUAUGAUGAGAUGGUAGGUAGCUAAGUGUCACUCGUCCGAAAGGAGAUUUAGAUUAAAAGUAUCAAAAUUUUAAUUUAUUUUUAAUUCAACAUGUCACAUCUAAUUUUAAAUUAAAUUUAUAUUUACAUUUUAAAUUUUAAAUCGUUAAUGGAGGUGUAUGUCUAUUAUUAAAUUAUUUUUUUCUAACUUUAAUUUAUCUCUAAAUAAGUUUUAUAUAUUUAUAAUUAAUUAAUACUAUAAGUAUUUUUCAUAUGUAUUUCAUAAUAUUUGAAAAAAUGUGCGCAUUAUGUUAGAAAGGAUUAGCAGCUAUGUCACAAAGAAAACAUUUAAAAGGAUAUUACUAAAAAAAUAUAUAUACUAAAAUAGUAUAAAUGUAUAUUAAAAAAAUAAAAAAUUUUCAGGUAGGAUCAAAAUACCUAUGGCGAAGGUAACGAAGGCGACAAUGUGUCGGCACCGGUAAUGACGAUAACGAUGAGGAGAACGAUGAUCAUGUACCAGUGCCGGCAAUGGUGACGAAUGAAAAAGGAUGUACUAAAAAAAAUAUUUGAGAAUAUUUAAGAAAAUGUAGAUAAAAAUGAAAAAGAAUAUUACUGAAGAAAAUAUAUGCUUUAUAUUUGAUAAACGUAUACGUAAAAAUAAGAAAAUACCAAAAAAAAUAUGCUAAAAUAAUAUAAAUGUACAUUAAAAAACGAAAAAUUUUCAGGUGAGAUUGAAAUACCUCUCCAACUUUGACGAAAAUGGCAAAAGUGAUAAUGUGUCGGUGUCGACGAUGACGAUGUGCUACGAUGUACUGGUGCUAGCGAUGGGAACAACGAUGUACUAGUGCUAGCGAUGGGUUCAAAUGAGAAAAGAUAUUACUAAAAAAAUAUUUGAGAAGAAUAUAGGUGAAAAUAAAAAAGAUAUUAUUAAAAAAAUAUCUCAAAAAAAUAUAUUCUGUGUGUGAAUAAAUAUUAUAAUGAGAUAAGAUUGGAUAGUAUAGAUAUUAUAUACAAAGACAUAUAGAUAUUAUAUGCGAGUGCAUUAAGAUAUGCUCUGUAUUUGAGAAACGCGUAAAAUAUUUUGGCGGGCAUUACUUUUGAAUAAUUUACUAAAAAAAUUCAAAAAUUUAAAAUUAUAUUUAACUAACAAUUUAGUUUUGCUUAGGUGGGUAUUAAAUCUUUCUAGCAAUAUUCUAUGUGAUUGGCGUAGAUAUUACGUGUAAAAAAGAAAUUAUUUGAGUAACACGUAAAUAGGAGAUAAUGGAUAUUUUAAUUUAUGGCAGAUAUUACGUUUGAGAAAACGCGUAGAUAGGAUAAAUUUAAUUUUAUUUAUUAUGUGAUGGAUAUUUUAAUUUAUGGCGGGUAUUACGUUUGAGAAAAUGCGUAGAUAGGAUAAAUUUAACUUUAUUUAUUAUGUGAUUGGCGCUAUUACGUGAAGUAUCCCUAGUGUUUGGUUGCCCGUAAGUUUUCAGCAUCUGAGACUUGUCAACACAUCUGGAGAGUGUCGGGACAGGUCAGAGUCGUUUUGGCGCGAAACGGACGCAAAACAGACUCAGUGCGACGCGAAAGCAGAGUUUGACAUUGAAAUCUACAAAGUGUAGGUUUUCAGUAUUCAGUAUCGGUACCAUACAGGGGAGUACCGAUACCCCAGUGUAUUCUCCGAACUGCUGCUCUAGGGUUGCGAUAAUUGAUGCUGAGUACCAGUACAGCAUCGAGCUGGUACCGGUACUCCAGCUGGGAUGUUGAGUUGGUGAGGAGUAGAAUGGUCUUUUUGGUUGGUGGAUAAACAUACCACCCACUCCCUCUUUAUAUUUAUCCACCUCAUCUGCCGAGAAGGGUAAUUAUCCUUUUUCCUCUCUCUCCAGUUUUAAUUGUGUGCUUAGGGAAGGCCACGGCUUAAGCUCGGAUCGACGUCGACGUUGCGCCAGGAAGCCGUUCAAGCGCGUGGAUGUCGCGGUUGCGUCGUUGGAGGCCGGGCGAGCGCGUGUUUUCCCUUCUCUCGACUUCUCGCCACAGUUGGACUAGCUUUUCGAGGUGGGUUGAAGUUUACUGAAAUCACCAGAACAUCUUCUAAGUUUUUAUAUCGUCAACAUAUAUCAUGUGUUUAAUUUCUUGCUAGUACUCAAAUUCAUGGAUUAUGCUUAAAAUAUGAAUUUGGAGUUAAGUAGUAGUAGUAUAAUUUUACAUGUUGAACAUGGAAUUGACUUAGGAGAAAAUUGUAGAUCCUACACUGUCAGUUUCUGAAAACUAUCAGAUUUAGCUUUAGGAGCUGUGGUUUAUGUGUAUUGCCACAGUUUGUAUGCAGUAGAUACCCAAAUUAGUGUAGGAUGGGUUUAUGCUCGUGCUGGGAUGCCGAGUUUUCUACAAUAGUGUGUAGACUGUUUCCGGUUGACGGGUACCGUCGCGGUUGACGGUGGACCCAGAUUUCUGUAUUUGCAUCAAAUUGUGUCAAGAGCACGUGAGCUUUGAUUGUUAGAUUUAUUUGCUUUAAUUAUAGCCUGUGAGAGCCUGAUUGAGAUCAGCAGAGACACGCUUGCAUACUCGGUUGGGUAGCGCCCACGUGUGCCACUCCGAAGUCUGGUUUGUGCUUUUGCGUUGUUGUCGCAGCAGUCCUGUUUGGACGGUGCUUUAGGACCGGCCACCUCAAUGGUGGUGUGCGGUAUAGCUCAGACGCAGGCGGGACGGACCUAUUGGCAGUCCCUUGACAGUCCCUUGACAGUAUAGUCGUUGUUGCAGGGGAUGCAUAUCUACAGAUAGCUAAAGUUGGUUAGUGAUAGUAUAUGGGCAUAUAACUGUAGGGUUUCUAGCUUUUCUUACUAUCUCCUGCAUACCUGUCUGUAGACUUAGUGGGUGAGCCGUUGAGGUCAGUAGCGGUACACACUAAGAACUACUUCUUUUUGCAGUAGUUUCCACACCCAGUUGUUUACCCCUUUUUGCAGAGCCUCCUUCUGCGGCUGCUGCUGUCGUCGAUACUUAUCGUGGAAAGGGAGUUGCGAGCUAGAUCUCUUCCCUGAUUGCAGUUCUAGAGGAGUACCAUCUACAGGUAGUUUUGAGUUUUUGGUUCAUGUACAUACUUGCUGGUACUCGCUGGAGUAAGUGAUGUCGGUAUUUAGGAGACUAUGUAUCUAUAGUGAACUUGAUGUUUAUCUAUAUAUGUUUACAGUUCUGUUAGCAGCUCCAUACUACUAGUUAUAGUUUUGUAACAUUACAGGUACAGGUACAGCUAUCGCUUCAUAUAUAGAAAAAAAUUCUUUUAUAUACGGCGGGUCUGUUAGCGUGCCCGGAAAAACGUGGUAAUUCGGGGUGUGACAUUACGUGUGAGAAACAAAAUAUUUAAGAAACGCCAGCCGUAGAUAGGAUAUAACGAAUAUUUUAAAUUAUGACGGGAAUUACGUUUGAGAAAACGCGUAGAUAUUUGUAAAACGCGUACAUAUGAGAUAAUGGAUAUUGAGAGUAUUUUCGUCAAGAAAAGUGACAAAUACUUUUAUUUUUAAUCGUUGAAUGAGAUCGAAUGGUAAAAACUUAAGAUCUCUAUUUGAAAAUAAAUUAUUAUUUAAAAAAUUAUUUGAAACGAAUGGUUGAUAAUCACUGAACAUGAAAAUAUUAGUAGAAAAGAUAGAGAUAUUUUUGAAAAGGGAAAAAAAUUUAAAACACAUGCUUUUAUAAGUAAUAUAGAUAACUAUUUUGUCCAUAAUUAAUGUUUA
rnacentral:lncRNA from 1 species